rnacentral:lncRNA from 1 species
AAGUCCUUUGUCUGUCGUAAAGUUUUGAAGAAUGGCAAGCAUCUCUCGACUGACUUAGAAAUAAAUCGGCUGAGUGCAGUGAUCCCUCUGUUGAGUUGCUGUAUCUCUUUCUUUGAGCUCGGGUGCUUCAUAUUGAUGAUGGCCUUUAUCUUUUCGGGAUUAACCUUGAUUCCUCGUUGUGCAACAAGAAAUCUGAAAAUUUUUUUGAAAGUUACCCCAAAUGCACAC